GUGGUGGGAAGGCAAGUCGGAGGACGUCGUUUCCGGUUGCUGGCAGCGGUGAAUUCAAAUCUCUGUCAUACGCGGUCACACUGGAGAGAGCAGGAAGGAGAGGAUGAUAUCCAAACCAUCUUGAAGGAAGAGGGAAUGCAAGGCAAUAGACUCAAAGGCCUUAUGAGGUGGGAACCAAUUUCUUAGUGUUCCACCAACAGUGGUCUGAUUGAGGCGGAGUACCAGAAGAAUCCAACAGGAGGCAUGACCUUCACUGUCAGUGGACAGUCCUACGUGCUGGACUUUGCCACUAUGACACAAACCAAUGACUUCACCAUGACGACUCGCAAAGUCAGACGUGUGUAGGCAUCUCCACGUGGCAUCUGUCAUUCAGCGCAGGAGACAAUCUCAUGUGGUCUCCCAUUUUCAAUUCUUUUUAUUUUUGGAGGCGGGGUCAACUUAAAAGGAGGAACGGGAAAAAGUCAAAAAGAGGAACGGGACAGGAAGCGAGUGGGGAGAGAGAGACGGUGAAG